rnacentral:lncRNA from 1 species
CAGGUGGCUGUGCAGUGAGUGGGUUGCUCUUUGACAAUGCGGCAUUGGACUGUCUACAGUCAUAAAAUGUUAAAAUUAUAAGAUCUAGAGAUGGGAGUAGGCAAGAAGGAGUCAACCGGGAUUGGCAAGAGGAAUGUCUAGUUUUCCAGAAAAUAAUUGGGUUAGGACUGUAACUACAAGAGGACUUGACAAUGAGCCGGAUCUGAGAGGAUCACCAAAACUGAAGAGCAUACAACCAUGCCGACAACCAUCCGUGGAGAUCAGUGGACAAAGGCUGGACAAUGGGCCACACCGAAAUAAAAACGCAUGGUUCCCAAGAAAGAGGGGAUUAGACAGAUGAACUGCAAGCACCAAAUGCCCAAGCCUCAAAACCAGAAACAUGUGGAG